CGGGGUCACGGGGAGACUGGAGACGAUGUGAGCACGCACUGGGUGAGAGGCAACGUACAUUCUGAACAGUCUGGACGUGUCAGCCUCUGUGCUCACUCUGUUUCUCCUAACCUGCUUGUCUUUGGACCGUGGAGGAAACCCACAUAUUUGCCUAGACUUCACCAUUGUUCAUGUGUCUGUGUUAUGCGGAUCUGAUAAUGCGCACCUCAGCCGUGCUAUGCUAUACUCUUUACAUGCCGACUCAGGCACGAGCAUGAUGGGCCAUUGUCAUAAGCUAGAUCACUGCGCAUUUUUAUUUUUUUUACUUUUUUAUUUGCCAUCUUAAUCCAGUGUCAAGCAGUGCGGUAUCCUACGCUAUGCCGUGCUGAGCUUCACUGCUAUAUGGUCUUUUCAUGCUGUGCUGUACAGUAUCAUAUCAAGCUGAGCUGAAAUGUGAUUGUCCAUGUAGCGCUUGUGCCUUACCUUUGCCGUGCUGUGCCGUCCCAUUGCGUUCUAUUUUAGAGAAGCGAGGACGGUGGCACUGCUGCAGUGUUCAGCUCCCCACGCCUCAGCGAUCGUAACUAUAAAAUUCUUUAAUGAGCAGUUUGGAGCCACGCCACAACCAUCUGAGAGUCCUGAAAACUGUUUAGCACCAACUCUGACUCAGUGAAUCAUCUCCAGCAUUGGAAAUAUGCAGUCAGUGGCAACGGUUUGAGAAGGUUGUAUAAUUGCAUUCUUCGGAAAAGGAGACACCCCUCAACCACCAAUCAUCAGAGGAGAGGUCGCAGGACCUCUUGUUUUUAGUGAGAACUUUACACUGGCAAACAAGAACACAGCAAACAAGUGUUGAGCGAAGGAUGAUAAAAAAGAUAAUCAAAAGAGCACAACAACAUGUGCACUGUAACCUGCGCUGGAUUGAGAGCCCAGUGACCUGUGGUGAGCAACCUCCAGUGUGCAGAAUACAGAAUGAGAAAAAUAAAAAAAUAAAUAAAUAAAAUAAAAAAAACUUGUGUUGUCUCUCUCUCUCUGUCUCCUCCUCUUCUCUGCAGUGGUGUUUCUCCACCUGUCACUCAGUCAUGCUCUCUCUAUUGACUUUUUCUCUUCUCCUUAUCUUCCUCCCAUCACUCUUUCCCAGCCUGAGCCCCGAGAGAUAGACAUUCACCAACUCUCUAUCUCCUUUCUCCAUCUCUCCUGCCCUCCAUUUACUGAUCUCCUUCAGUCUAUUGCUACAUCCAACUCCCGCCACAACAUCUCUCCCCCUGCUCCUCCAUCUCAAAUUCAAAUGCAACAUUGCUUAAGGACAGUAUUACACAGACAUGUUGUACACGAUAAGGUAUAAUAAUUUAUUUCCACAUUAUAUACAUCAAUCCUUCUCUGUCUGUCUCUGCUCCAUCCCUCUCUCUAC